rnacentral:tRNA from 1 species
GCCCUUGUGGCGGAAUUUAGGCAGACGCGCCGCACUCAAAAUGCGGUACCGCAAGGUGUGUGGGUUCGAGUCCCACCGGGGGCA